GUUUUUCUAAUAUAUAAAGUAUAGCUGGCUUCCAACCAGACAGUUUGGUCUACUGCCAAGAAGAACA
rnacentral:tRNA from 1 species